UUGUUUUUUUUUAAACAGUAAGUUGCGUUGGGCCUGGGUUUUGGAUUCACAGCAAAUAGGCUUGAAAACUGAGGUGACCACGAACAGCACAUGGCUCGAGCAUUGUGAACGGGCCAGCCCGACACGGAUCUCCCAGGGGCGGGCUCGCCGCGGUGGCAGGACCACUGAGCUCUGAAUGGCACUCUUCAGGGACUGCGGUCCUUUCCUACUGCUGUUGUAGCUAAUUAGCAGACACUCGUGGCUCCAACAACACAACCGUAUCGCUUUACAGUGCUGGAGGUAAGAGGUCUGCAGUGGGUCUCCCUGGGCUAAAAUCCUUGGCUUAUGGCCCCUACCUCUCCCUCAUGGGCAGCAACAGCCGGUCAAGUCCUUCUGUUUGGCAUCACUCUGACCUCUUCUUCUGCCUCCCUCUCCCAUUUUAAGGACCCUGUCUUGGCCCUGACAUUGGCGCUCCCUGGAUAACCCCGGAUACUCCUUUCUUAAGGUCGGCUGAUCAACAACCUGCUGUAAAUCCCAUCUGCCACCUUCAUCCCCUUUGCAACAUAUUCGCAGGUUCUGGGGAUCAGGCGUGGACGUCGCUGGGCCAUUAUUUUGUGUAUGGCAAGGAGCGACUCCUGGCCUGCUCUACCCACUUCACGUGUGCUCAGGGCUUGGUCUCUUGGGUGGGCUUGUUUUGUCUGUCACAUUUGAACCACUCCGACCUGGACAGUUGAAAGGCAUUAAGCACAUUCACACUGCUGUACAACCAUCACCCCAUCCAUUCUCUGGAACUUUUUUCUUCUUGCAAAACCAAACUCUGGAUCCAUUAAAUAGUAACUGCCCACCAGUCUACUCUCCAUGAAUCUGACAACUCCAGAUUUCUCACAGGAAGAGAGUUAGACCGCAUUUAUCCUCCUGCGAUGGGCUUAUUUCACUUAGCACAAUGUCCUCCCAGUUCACGUUGGCUGUCGCACGCUGGUCUCUUGAUUUUGAGACAACCUCCACCCUCCAGAUUCCGUUCAGCCACCCCAAAGUUGACCCUGCAGGAGGUCCCCACCAGCAGCAGCAUUUCAGGCUAGAAGUGUGCAAACAGGUGGCCUAGAGGUUUGAAAAAAAUGCAGUGUGGUGUGAUGUGAUGGUGGGGGAGUGGUUUAGAGGGCUGUUCUGGGGUCGCUGAGCACUGGGUUCCUGUCCCUUCUCAGCCAGUCAUACGCUGCAAUCAUCAGCCAGUACCUACGAUGUGCGGGUCUCCACGUGAAGCAUGGGGGGCACGGAAGCUGCUCCGCACAGUGCCAACCACGAAGAAGCCUUCAGUGAUUAAACCUACAGAACUCUAGUGACUUCACUAGACUUUCCCUCAGUAGAGCAAGAGGCAGCUGCCUUGACCACCCCAAGGCUAAGGAGCCCCCGUCCUGAAAAACACAGUCGACAAUGACCUCAUGUCACUGGAGAGGUGUGGCUCAUCCAGCGCUCUCUCUGUUUGCCUCUGAUGUUUAUGACGCUGAUGUGAUUUUUACAGGCAGAUUUAUGCUUUUGAUAACACACUUCCGAAGGCGGCUACUAAGAUGAAGUUUUGUUCUAGACCAGGUUCCCUUGGGCCCAUGGGGACCUGGCCGAGACCAAACAGACUGCAGUGUGGAGUUGGCAACACCUGCACCCAAGGCUGAGUGAGCAGGGAGAACAGGUUCUGAGGGCAAGGCUGCCCUGGCUGGUUCUGGAAGCUGGCUGGUGUGGACUGGCCAGGCAGGCCUAGGUGGGACAAGCGUAAGCAGAGAAUUCCUCGAUCUCAGCUCACCCCCCACCCACCCACCCCUGCCCCCCAGAGAGCUGGGCAAGGCUGGGGAGCUGUGAGAACAGCGUGGCGGGGCCCUGGACCACUUUCCCCAGCUGGACAUUAUCUCUUGCCUGGAUGAGAGUUUGCCAUAAUCACAGCUAUCUCGCCAAGUAACCAGUGCUUUCCCAACCCUGCAAUUG